UACGUAGGGGGCAAGCGUUGUCCGGAUUUAUUGGGCGUAAAGAGCGUGUAGGCGGCCAUACAGGUCCGUUGUGAAAACUGGAGGCUUAACCUCCAGACGUCGAUGGAAACCGUAUGGCUAGAGUCCGGAAGAGGAGAGUGGAAUUCCUGGUGUAGCGGUGAAAUGCGCAGAUAUCAGGAGGAAUACCGAUGGCGAAGGCAGGUCUCUGGGCUGAAACUGACGCUCAUGCACGAAAGCGUGGGGAGCAAACGGG
rnacentral:rRNA from 1 species